rnacentral:rRNA from 1 species
ACGAACGCUGGCGGCAGGCCUAACACAUGCAAGUCGAGCGAGCAUUUCGGUGCUAGCGGCGGACGGGUGAGUAACGCGUGGGAACGUGCCCUUUUCUGCGGAAUAGUCCUGGGAAACUGGGGGUAAUACCGCAUACGCCCUUUUGGGGAAAGAUUUAUCGGAGAAGGAUCGGCCCGCGUUGGAUUAGGUAGUUGGUGGGGUAAUGGCCCACCAAGCCGACGAUCCAUAGCUGGUUUGAGAGGAUGAUCAGCCACACUGGGACUGAGACACGGCCCAGACUCCUACGGGAGGCAGCAGUGGGGAAUCUUAGACAAUGGGGGCAACCCUGAUCUAGCCAUGCCGCGUGAGUGAUGAAGGCCUUAAGGUUGUAAAGCUCUUUCAGCUGGGAAGAUAAUGACGGUACCAGCAGAAGAAGCCCCGGCUAACUCCGUG